GCUAUUCAAAAUCAUGAUUCAGCUGUUUCCAAGAGGUGUUUCUAGAAGCCUUAUUUCUCGAGUAUAGCUGAAGGUUACAGCUGUCUUUAAAAAUCCAGACAAAGUUGGAGUUGUGCAUUACCCCCAGAGGGUCAUUUCACUUCAUUUAAAGAGGUGAGAGUUUACGAGUGUUUCAUUUGUCCGUAUUCAACAGUGCGAUCAGCAGAUUUGAAGAGACAUAUGAGGACUCAUACGGGAGAGAAACCAUUCAAAUGUGAUCUUUGUGGUAGAGGUUAUUCAGAUAAGCGGUUGCUUCUACGUCAUUUACUGAAUCAUGAAGAUAAAAUAAUACCUUUUGUCUAAAUUAAGUGACAUUAAAAAAGAUUAAAUUUUACUUUAAGUAAUAUAAUGAUCCAAUAACAUUGUAUGGAUCUAAGGAAUUCUGUCUUCUUAUUCUAUUGUGAUUUUGUUUAAAAUCAUAAGUGUUUUUAUGUAUUAAUGAAUGAAUAGCCUGUUGAUGAUACAACCGAUUUUGGAUGAUUAAAAAAUAUUGUGUUUUGUUAUGAGUUAUGGUUACAUUAUCAAUUAUGAAGUAUUUUAUUAAGUCAUGCUUAAGGUUUAUGAUGUAGUUUAGAAUUUGUUAUUUUAAAGAUUUUACUUGUUGUUCUUUUGAAUGGCAACUGGUGAGUGUUCCACAAUGUUUUUAGUGUUCUGUGAAUAAAUUAUGAAAGUAUUGUUGU